UCCAUCCCAAGUUUAUAUUUUUUUUCAUAAAUAAUUUUGUUAGAUCGCUCCUAGGAAUUUGUAUUUGUAAAUAUACUUCUCCUUGAUUCCACUCUACCUCUAAAAGCCAAUCUUUUCUGUCUUAAAAAUCAAAGUUUGCUGUCAAUUUCAAGAAUCAGUAUAUAGUUUUCACUGUUAAUGUGCUUUAAUAUGGAUUCUAUGCAUCUGUCACACUAUUAUUCAGUUCUAAAUGUGAAAAAGAGACAACCCCAGAUCAAGAUUUUGAAGCAAUUCAAUGUUGUACAUCAGAUAAGUCAUACAAGUGUGAGAAAUUUGACCCUUUUGCCUGCAACGAAUUUGGGUUUUUUCAUGGAUCGUAGGGUUAAAGGAAUUGUCUGUGGGGUGUCUUCUGUUGAAACCAGGGAAAACCAAAAUAAAGGAAAGAACAAAUCAUCUAGUGAGAAGGUUCAGCUACGUUUUCGGCUUGAUCACCAAGUUGAAUAUGGGGAGCACAUUGCAGUUCUGGGAUCGGCCAAAGAAUUAGGGUCCUGGAAGAAAAAUAUAAUGAUGGAUUGGACAGAAAAUGGAUGGAUUGGUGAACUGGAAGUACGAUCUGGCGAGAUUCUUGAGUAUAAGUUUGUAAUUGUUGGUAAGGACAAGAAUAUGUUAUG
rnacentral:misc_RNA from 1 species